rnacentral:rRNA from 1 species
UGGGGAAUUUUGGACAAUGGGGGAAACCCUGAUCCAGCCAUCCCGCGUGUGCGAUGAAGGCCUUCGGGUUGUAAAGCACUUUUGGCAGGAAAGAAACGUCAUGGGUUAAUACCCCGUGAAACUGACGGUACCUGCAGAAUAAGCACCGGCUAACUACGUGCCAGCAGCCGCGGUAAUACGUAGGGUGCAAGCGUUAAUCGGAAUUACUGGGCGUAAAGCGUGCGCAGGCGGUUCGGAAAGAAAGAUGUGAAAUCCCAGAGCUCAACUUUGGAACUGCAAUUUUAACUACCGUGGUAGAGUGUGUCAGAGAGAGGUGGAAUUCCGCGUGUAGCAGUGAAAUGCGUGGGUGUGCGGAGGAACACCGAUGGCGAAGGCAGCCUCCUGGGAUAACACUGACGCUCAUGCACGAAAGCGUGGGGAGCAAACAGG